AUCCUCCACAACCCUUGAGUAUAACUAAAGAUUUUGGUGGAACUCAUAGUGGAAAUUGUAUAUGGUUUCAUGAUGGCAAAGCUCUCUCCUACCUUCUACCUUCUCCUUGCCCUCUUCCUUGACACCUCAGUUGGAAAGAUGGUGACUCAAGCUGAAGCAAAACUUUGCCUUCAGAACUUGGGGUACUGCGACAGCCUGGAUUCUUGCAAAUUUCGAUGUACAACAAAAUAUCCAAGCGGGGAGGGAUACUGUAGAAUUGAUUAUUAUCCUUUAAAUUUCUGCUGGUGUCAAUUUCAAUGUUGAAUGAAUCUCUGCUUAUACAUAUAUGAAUAAAAGGGCUUUGUGCCUGAGCGUCACUAGAUUUUACCUAA